rnacentral:rRNA from 1 species
AGUGAACGCUGGCGGUAGGCCUAACACAUGCAAGUCGAACGGCAGCACAGUAAGAGCUUGCUCUUACGGGUGGCGAGUGGCGGACGGGUGAGGAAUACAUCGGAAUCUACUUUUUCGUGGGGGAUAACGUAGGGAAACUUACGCUAAUACCGCAUACGACAUACGGGGGAAAGCAGGGGAUCUUCGGACCUUGCGCGAUUGAAUGAGCCGAUGUCGGAUUAGCUAGUUGGCGGGGUAAAGGCCCACCAAGGCGACGAUCCGUAGCUGGUCUGAGAGGAUGAUCAGCCACACUGGAACUGAGACACGGUCCAGACUCCUACGGGAGGCAGCAGUGGGGAAUAUUGGACAAUGGGCGCAAGCCUGAUCCAGCCAUACCGCGUGGGUGAAGAAGGCCUUCGGGUUGUAAAGCCCUUUUGUUGGGAAAGAAAAGCAGCAGGUUAAUACCCCGCUGUUCUGACGGUACCCAAAGAAUAAGCACCGGCUAACUUCGUG